UACGUAGGGUGCAAGCGUUGUCCGGAAUUAUUGGGCGUAAAGAGCUCGUAGGCGGUUUGUCGCGUCUGCUGUGAAAUCUCCGAGCUUAACUCGGAAAGGUCAACUGAUACUGCGGGGCUAGAGUGCGGAAGGGGCAACUGGAAUUCUUGGUGUAGCGGUGAAAUGCGUAGAUAUCAAGAGGAACACCUGCGGCGAAGGCGGGUUGCUGGGCCGACACUGACGCUGAGGCGCGAAAGCUAGGGGAGCGAACGGG
rnacentral:rRNA from 1 species